rnacentral:rRNA from 1 species
GACGAACGCUGGCGGCGUGCUUAACACAUGCAAGUCGAACGGAAAGGCCCUGCUUUUGUUGGGUGCUCGAGUGGCGAACGGGUGAGUAACACGUGAGUAACCUGCCCUUGACUUUGGGAUAACUUCAGGAAACCGGGGCUAAUACCGGAUAGGAGCUCCUGCUGCAUGGUGGGGGUUGGAAAGUUUCGGCGGUUGGGGAUGGACUCGCGGCUUAUCAGCUUGUUGGUGGGGUAGUGGCUUACCAAGGCUCUGACGGGUAGCCGGCCUGAGAGGGCGACCGGCCCAAUUGGGACUGAGAUACGGCCCAGACUCCUACGGGAGGCAGAAGUGGGGAAUAUUGCACAAUAGGCGGAAGCCUGAUGCAGCAACGCCGCGAGCGAGAAGACGGCCUUCGGGUUGUAAACCGCUUUCGCCUGUAACGAAGCGUGCGUGACGGUAAUGGGUAAAGAAGCACCGGCUAACUACGUG